rfam:Picea glauca, whole genome shotgun sequence.
ACAUGCCUACAACAUAGCAUUAAUGCACCAGAUCCCAUUAGAACUCCGCAGUUAAGCAUGCUCAGGCUAGAGUAGUACUGGGAUGGAUGACUGCCCAAUAAGUCCUGGUGUUUUACAUGCC